rnacentral:rRNA from 1 species
UAAGACGGAGGAUGCAAGUGUUAUCCGGAAUUACUGGGCGUAAAGCGUCUGUAGGUGGUUUAGUAAGUCGAUUGUUAAAGCUUGGGGCUUAACUCCAAAACAGCAAUGGAAACUGCUAGACUUGAGUAUGGUAGAGGUAAAAGGAAUUUCCAGUGGAGCGGUGAAAUGCGUAGAUAUUGGAAAGAACACCGAUGGCGAAGGCAUUUUACUGGGCCAUAACUGACACUCAGAGACGAAAGCUAGGGUAGCAAAUGGGAUUAGAUACCCCAGUAGUCCUAGCUGUAAACGAUGGAUACUAGAUGUUGCACGUAUCGACCCGUGCAGUGUCAUAGCUAACGCGUUAAGUAUCCCGCCUGGGAAGUAUGCACGCAAGUGUG